AUAUCUGUGAUGAGAAAGCUAACAUAUAAGGAAAGCUUCUUUGUGAAGUUCUUCAAUGAAAUAUACUUGUUACGCUUGGCUUCUGAGCUUA
rfam:Brassica rapa chromosome A1, whole genome shotgun sequence.